AACUGGCAUACAUCGCGUGGAUUUGCUACUUUGGGCUGCUGGUGUGUUGCAAUGGUCUCCAUCCAACUCCUGCCACAGCCAUCUCAUCGCCACCCCGCCCAUCUGUACUUGUUUCCUGCCUGCUGCUGCACUCUCCUGGGAACACCACAUAAUUCAAAACUGGAUUCAAGUACAUCGGUUGGUUGCCGAAGUUGUACUGCCCAUGUGGUAAUUCUUCAGGAAUACUUCGUUUGAAUUGCUGGAGGCAGAGAUUUCUGGUACUUUCGCAGUCUUUUAGUGUCUUUCGGGAAUGCGCUUCCGUCAGAAUUAGGUGGGUGAUACUUUCUUUUUUGUGGGUCCGUGGUUGCGGUUGAUCGGCUCUGGCGCUGCAAAGGUGCACUUGCACAGGAGGAUUAGACCCACUGAGCAAUUUUCGGAGUGUUGUUUGAAUUUCGAGGGAAUUAUGAUCUGAAAACGGUUUAAUCAAUUCUUCGAAGUCUCCAGCAACUCUCUCCGCCUGGGGAUUUUUCACAGUCUUCUAUGCGAUCGAUGGUAUUUAGCUCUUGUUCUGAUUCAAAUGCAAUGCUUCGGAGACUGUAGUGUGUACGACAUGUAGUAUUUCCGGCAUUGGUCAUACAUGGUAAAACUAACUUUCAAAUUGUUAAGGAGGAAAAACAUACUGCAAAAUUGUGAUGCUUUGUAGCCUUGGGGUGGAAUGAAGGUGGCAAUGGUCACAGCGCAUAGUUGCGGGGUGUUGAUUAGUUGUUGGUGGUCCAUGGCAUCAGGGGUGACUCCUGGAGCUUGCUGAGGAAGCCCAACACAACUUUCAUCAAAUAUCGACCGAUUGUAGUUUGAAUUUGUGGACACACCUCCAACAACAUGCGUCCUUUUGAAUAGCAGCUACGGAUGUCCAAUUUGUUGUUCGAGGAUUUCUGUUAGUGGCUUGUGUAUGGAUGUCCGAGAAAACGAAGGAGAGGGUGAGAGUGAUGUGGGGUCUCUAGCAAAUUUCAAUGCCUCCAGUCUCCAGUCUGGUUGGGUCUGGCGGUGGUCGUAUGAGUCUAGCUCCCCAAUUAGGAUCUCGUGUGAACAAUGUAAGAUGCGUACACCCGCAACGCCAGUGCGCUGUAUGUGCUCUUGAACGGAGGUUUAGCUGGAAAAUUUGUCACCAGCUUAGUAGAGUUGGAGAUCGAGGGCCUUCUCAUGCCAUUGUUGUGAAACCAAAACCACAAUUGAAGCUGGUUUAUGGAGGACACACUAGGUAUUCUCAUUUGGUCUCGCCGUUUGGAACGUAUUCCUCCUCUAGUGGGCGAAGAGCACAGAGGGGCAACUCAGAUGGUUUACCCGGGUAUGAGGAUGAAGAGAAAGGCGGAGAGACGGAGGAGGAGGAUUCUAGCCCUGGUUUGACAGCUCGCAACCUGGUGGGAACAUAUGCCGCUAGCACAGCAUUGGCUGUGCAGGAGUCUCUUCCACCGGAGGGAGUGAUCGUGUUAUUGGCGUGCCUUGUGGGCGUGCUUACUGGUGGAAGUGUCGUGCUCUUCAAUCUUGCGGUACACGGUAUCCACGAUGAAGUCUGGGAAGGCAUUCCCGUUAGCGGAGCCGCUUGGUUACGAACACGUCCACUAAAAGAAACCUGGCUUCGACUUCUCGCGGUCCCUUUUGGAGGGGGUGUUUUGGUUGGAAUUCUCAACACAAUGCGCCAAACCUUGGAUGACGACGAAAAUGAAAAGUCCAAGUCCAGAUCCAAGUCGUCCCGGUUGGCUGAUUUUCGCGGUGUUUUCAGAGCUUUUCUGAAAGCAGUUAGUGCUGCAGUUACUUUAGGUACUGGGUGCUCCCUUGGUCCGGAAGGUCCCAGUGUUGAAAUUGGGGCGUCCAUAGCCAAUGGUGUGAGUGCAGUGCUGAGUAAUAGUCGGGAACGCAAGACCGCUCUGGUUGCUGCCGGCUCUGCAGCUGGAAUCUCUUCAGGAUUCAAUGCGGCUGUAGCUGGCUGCUUUUUCGCGGUUGAAUCAGUGUUGCGGCCUUUAUCUUCAGACUCCGCACCGUCGCUCACCACAGCAAUGCUGUUGCUUAGCUCAGUAGUGGCAAGUGUGAUUUCGCAGGCUGGAUUAGGGUCUGAUCCUGCAUUCAAGAUCCCUGCAUAUGAUUUUCGAUCCCCUGCUGAGCUUCCGUUGUAUUUGCUUCUUGGAAUUCUCAGUGGCGGUGUGUCAGUGACCCUUGUCAAGGGCAGUGCUUAUGCAACAACCUUCUUUGAAAAUGUGAAAAAGACGACUGGAAUUCCUGCAGGCUUCCUUCCACCAGUAGGAGGCCUUGCAGUGGGUGUUAUUGCUCUUGCAUAUCCGGAAAUACUGUAUUGGGGCUUUGAGAAUGUGGACGUCCUGCUAGAGUCACGUCCGUGGGCUCGAGGCCCGUCGGUAGAGUUGCUGCUGCAAUUAGUUGGUGUUAAAGUAAUUGCAACUUCUCUGUGUCGUGGCUCUGGAUUAGUGGGCGGUAUGUAUGCACCCUCGCUGUUUAUUGGAGCUGCACUUGGGUCAGCGUAUGGAAACAUUGCUAGAACUCUUUUCUCACACGUCGAUCCUGCCCUCCAUUUGGAAUGGAUUAAGGUUGCUGCUCCCCAAGCCUAUGCAUUGGUAGGCAUGGCAGCCAUGUUAGCUGGAGUAUGCCAAGUCCCACUCACCUCCGUCUUGCUUCUAUUCGAGCUUACGCGAGAUUACCGUAUUAUUUUGCCUCUCAUGGGCGCAGUAGGUCUAUCAUCCUGGAUUGCAUCCUCAUCCACUAAGAAGAGUAAACGCUCGAAGUCCGAAUCAACUCUUCUAUCAUCAUCGUCUGCUCCUAUCACACAAUCCAAGCUGGGAUCUUCUCCGCUGGAUCUAAGUGUUGCCAGCCAACAGGGUCGGUUAAGCAAUGGCGCUGGAAAUGGGGGCCUUCAAACCACUACGGAGAAAGUUCAGGACCCGUUGGCUCUGGCUACUGAGAGGAGGACAGUCAUUUACACUAAUGAUGGGAGUUUUGAGGAGUUUGUUGAAGAUAAAGAAGUGUGCAAUAUUGACGAGUCCCUUUGUUUAACAAAUUUUGAGAUCAGUGAGGAACAAUUAGCAGAUGAAUUACCCGUAUCCAUGGCAAUGAGGACCAGUUUCGCAAGUCUGUCCUUGGGCUCAACAGUGCGAGAAGCGAUGUCGGUUAUGGUGUUGGAGAAAGAGUGGUGUGUGCUUCUGCUGGACUCUAAUCAGCGCCUUGCAGGCCUGCUUACUUUAGCUGACAUUCAGCAGGCUGCGGGAAAUGCUACCGCUGUCAAUAUGCAGGUGGAGAGGAAGCCCGUGUCUUCAUUAUUGAAGGGCAAGAGGUUGAAACAAGUGGUAACAGCAACGAGAGACAUGAGUUUAAGGGCUGCACAACGCCUCAUGGCAGGGCGUGGUUUGAGGCAAGUCCCCGUUGUGGAUGGCAGUCAGCGAGUGAUCGGCCUCUUGGAUCGAGAUUCCAUUGCUCUGGCUUGCCGGGCGGAAGCCACGCGCAGAAUACUUGGUCUUUCACUUUCUAAAACGGCAUUGGAGGGGCCUAGUGAAGGUCUCUGAUAUUUUUUAUGAAGCGCAUUUAUCUUGUAUCUACGCAGAGAUCCGCUCUUCGACUUCGGGACGAGAUAUGCAUAAGUCUGACAAUUCGCAUGGAUAAUGUGGUUUCAUCUAUCAAAUGUUUUAGGUCUGCUAAAGCAGGUGAUCAAUGCGUGUGCUUUUUUCUGCAUGAAAAUUGACACACAGAGCCAUGUUCUGUCAGUGUAUCAUGCAUUGAAAAUUUAUUACAGUGACAGCCAGAGUUCGUCAGACGUGAGGCUGUUUUGAUUUACCUUAGAGUCUUUCAUGUACCAUAAUCAGAAAAUCUCGUAAUGAAGAUUUAGAAUUUCAGCUACUA